UACGGAGGGGCUAGCGUUGUUCGGAAUUACUGGGCGUAAAGCGCGCGUAGGCGGCUUUGUAAGUUAGAGGUGAAAGCCCGGAGCUUAACUCCGGAACUGCCUUUAAGACUGCAUCGCUAGGAAUCGUGGAGAGGUGAGUGGAAUUCCGAGUGUAGAGGUGAAAUUCGUAGAUAUUCGGAAGAACACCAGUGGCGAAGGCGACUCACUGGACACGUAUUGACGCUGAGGUGCGAAAGCGUGGG
rnacentral:rRNA from 1 species